AUUGAACGCUGGCGGCAGGCCUAACACAUGCAAGUCGAGCGAGCGGCGGACGGGUGUGUAAUGUAUGGGGACUGCCCGAUAGAGGGGGAUAACUACUCGAAACGGUAGCUAAUACCGCGUACUCUCUGAUUACCCAUAUGGGAUUAGCUAGUGGGUGGGGUAAGGGCUCACCUAGGCGCCGAUCCGUAGCUGGUUUGAGAGGACGACCAGCCACACUGGAACUGAGACACGGCCCAGACUCCUACGGAGGCAGCAGUGGGGAAUUUUGGACAAUGGGGGAAACCCUGAUGCAGCCAUCCCGCGUGUAUGAUGAAGGCCUUCGGGUUGUAAAGUACUUUUGGCAGAGAAGCGGUAUCUGCAGAAUAAGCACCGGCUAACUACGUGCCAGCAGCCGCGGUAAUUC
rnacentral:rRNA from 1 species